AAUUAAAUAUUGGGGAGCUUGUGCAAUCAGGCUGAGAAAAAAUCUAAAGCGAUUAAAACCCUUGUACCUGAUCUGGAUAAUGCCAGCGUAGGGAUAAACUCUAAAUUUGAAU
rnacentral:ncRNA from 2 species